CUAGGUGACCUGAGCAGGUCUCCUGACUUACUGCGGGUGUGACUUGGACUCCUCCGGGUCUCUCUUCCCAGUUCUCAGUCCCACAUCUGCCGAAUGGGAGAGAGGACUGGGUGACUGUGCUCUGUCACCUCCAAGAUGGAAAUGGCACAUGAGGUCACUGCAGCCAGGGACCUGGCCAGAAAAGACAGCAGAGGGGCAGCCUGGGGGGCGAACUCAGCAAGUCUGGGGCUGGCAUCAUGCUGCUAGGAUGCCAGCUCAGGAAAGAGGCCAGCACAGGGGAGGGGACAGGUGCGUGACACUAGUCAACCUGUAUGACUGAGGCCACCUGAAAGCCUUUCUUUGGUGAGGCCAAAAGCAGAUCUUCCUGUGUCUUUCCAGGAAGAUCCCAUGUGCAAAAAGUGUGGUAGACAGGUCAUUGGACGUCACCAGAAGCCACCACGGGCCACACUUGCUUUGUUAGAUGCCUGCUGCAGCCACACACCCAAGGCCUGGGGAGACUUUCAGAAUCAUCCAGUACUCAAGGUUCUCAAAAUAUCGUUUCCUUUUCUCAGGCAGCCCCUGGAGGGUUCGUUGGCUUUUUUUUUUUUUUUUUUUUUUUCCCCCUGCUCUACAGGACCCUUCAGAUCUGCCUUGGAGAGCACUGAUCAGGCUAUCAUCCUGUCAGGCUGCAAGUGAGGUACCAGCAGCUCAGAUGGUGGAACCCUCGGUUGUAGUUCCACGCCUGCUGGAAGCCUGCAGCCUCUGCUCUUCAUGCUGGUUGCAUCCAAGCGUUGGUGCCUGAGAGGCAAUUGCAUCCUGAAGGGAUGUUUGGUCUCCUUAAAGCUCUGCUUCAGAGGGUCAUUGACACAGGCUAAUUCUUCGGGUCAAAAGCCGCAGAGACAGUAUAUACAUCCGGUGCCACUAAGCCCAGCACCCACAGGCCGUGUGGGGCUUGCCUGUCAUCCAGGACCAAAACGCUCUUUUUCCCUCCCUCAAGUGCUGGGGAUAGAACCCUGGGCCUCACAAAUGUUAAGCUCUACCCUGGAGCCAUAUGUUCUGACUCAUUUUUGGAUUCUAGUUCUUUCUGGUCCUUUCCAGAAGAGGAGAUUGCUGGUUCUCCUUCUGUGUGGGGUAGGAAUAAAAUGUUUAAAAAUCGGUA